UACGUAGGGGGCUAGCGUUGUCCGGAAUCAUUGGGCGUAAAGAGCGUGUAGGCGGUCCGGUAAGUCCGCUGUGAAAGUCGGGGGCUCAACCCUCGAAUGCCGGUGGAUACUGUCGGGCUAGAGUACGGAAGAGGCGAGUGGAAUUCCUGGUGUAGCGGUGAAAUGCGCAGAUAUCGGGAAGAACACCCGUGGCGAAGGCGGCUCUCUGGGACGGUACUGACGCUGAGACGCGAAAGCGUGGGGAGCGAACAGG
rnacentral:rRNA from 1 species